AUGCAUGAUGUACGGGGAAAAUCUCUUCGUAUUCAGACAUCUAAGGAGCCCGUGGAGAAAACUUUGCUGCAUUUUCGAGCUACUCUGUCUGGGUUCCACUCUGAGGCGUGGUCUCUUGUCUUCUGUUCUUCAUGGGAGGCCAUCAUACUGGGCUUCCAGCACUACAUCCUGGCGCUGGGCACGGCCGUCAUGAUCCCGGCGGUGCUGGUGCCCAUGAUGGGCGGGAGCGACGGAGACAGGGUGAGGGUGGUGCAGACGCUGCUGUUCGUCACCGUCAUCAACACGCUGCUGCAGUCGCUCUUCGGGACGCGGCUGCCCACGGUCAUAGGCGGCUCCUACGCCUUCCUCAUCCCGGUGAUGGCCAUCGUGCAGGACUCGUCGCUCGCGGCCAUACCUGACGACCACGAGAGGUUCCUUCAGAGCAUGCGGGCCAUACAGGGGGCGGUUAUAGUGUCCUCCAGUAUUCAGAUCAUCCUUGGUUACAGCCAGCUCUGGGGUAUUUUCUCCAGCUAUUGA
rnacentral:rRNA from 1 species